CAAGUAUUGCGCAAUCUUCACAACCAUCAGCUUGUCAAGGUACUUAUAGCUAUGCCAUAGCAUCCAACAUGAAGACAUUAUUUCCUCCUCUUCUUCUCCUCAUAUCGUUGCUCCUCAUUUCAACAUCUGGGACUGUGGUGGCAGUGGGUGGAGUUGCAACAGCGUGCGCUAGCAAGAGGCCUGGCAGGCAACACAAAAUGGUCCACUGUACUAAGUCAGCUUGUGAUAGGUUCUGUAAAAACCAGUAUGGGCUAGCUGCUCUACACAGAUGCACCAACCCCAACAGUUGCUGCUGCGAGCAAGUUAGUUGUUGCUAGUAAUGGAGCAUUAUUUGAUUAGGGAACUAAUUAAAUAUGCAUGCUGGCUAGCCAUUGCUUGAAUAAUGACCAAAUGGUGCAACCAAAAAAUAAAUUGGUGCAUAUAAGAUGCUUGCAUUUUGUUUAAAUUUUGAGUGGCAAAUAUGAAGAAAUGGAGUGAAGAGUUCAUUGUGUAGUUAUGGUUAUUAUGUAUUGCAAAAAUUGCAUAAGCUCUACACA